CCUACGGGUGGCAGCAGUGAGGAAUAUUGGUUAAUGGACGAGAGUCUGAACCAGCCAAGUAGCGUGAAGGAUGACUGCCCUAUGGGUUGUAAACUUCUUUUAUAUGGGAAUAAAACGUUCCACGUGUGGGAUUUUGUAUGUACCAUAUGAAUAAGGAUCGGCUAACUCCGUGCCAGCAGCCGCGGUAAUACGGAGGAUCCGAGCGUUAUCCGGAUUUAUUGGGUUUAAAGGGAGCGUAGGUGGAUUGUUAAGUCAGUUGUGAAAGUUUGCGGCUCAACCGUAAAAUUGCAGUUGACACUGGCAGUCUUGAGUACAGUAGAGGUGGGCGGAAUUCGUGGUGUAGCGGUGAAAUGCUUAGAUAUCACGAAGAACUCCGAUUGCGAAGGCAGUUCACUGGACUGCAACUGACACUGAGGCUCGAAAGUGUGGGUAUCAAACAGGAUUAGAUACCCCUGUAGUC
rnacentral:rRNA from 1 species